rnacentral:rRNA from 1 species
ACACCGGCCGCUCAAGUGGUAGCCGCUUUUAUUGGGCCUAAAGCGUCCGUAGCCGGUCUGAUAAGUCUCUGGUGAAAUCCCACAGCUUAACUGUGGGAAUUGCUGGAGAUACUAUCAUGACUCGAGGUCGGGAGAGGCUGGAGGUACUCCCAGGGUAGGGGUGAAAUCCUGUAAUCCUGGGAGGACCACCUGUGGCGAAGGCGUCCAGCUGGAACGAACCUGACGGUGAGGGACGAAAGCCAGGGGCGCGAACCGGAUUAGAUACCCGGGUAGUCCUGGCCGUAAACGAUGUGGACUUGGUGUUGGGAUGGCUUCGAGCUGCCCCAGUGCCGAAGGGAAGCUGUUAAGUCCACCGCCUGGGAAGUACGGCCGCAAGGCUGAAACUUAAAGGAAUUGGCGGGG